rnacentral:rRNA from 1 species
AUGUAUAGCUAACAUGCCCUUUAGAGGGGGAUAACAGUUGGAAACGACUGCUAAUACCCCAUACUCCUUCUCAUUAUAAGAUGAGUCGGGAAAGUUUUUUCGCUAAAGGAUUGGGCUAUAUGGUAUCAGCUUGUUGGUGAGGUAACGGCUCACCAAGGCUAUGACGCCUAACUGGUCUGAGAGGAUGAUCAGUCACACUGGAACUGAGACACGGUCCAGACUCCUACGGGAGGCAGCAGUGGGGAAUAUUACACAAUGGAGGAAACUCUGAUGUAGCAACGCCGCGUGGAGGAUGACACAUUUCGGUGCGUAAACUCCUUUUAUAUGGGAAGAUAAUGACGGUACCAUAUGAAUAAGCACCGGCUAACUCCGUGCCAGCAGCCGCGGUAAUACGGAGGGUGCAAGCGUUACUCGGAAUCACUGGGCGUAAAGCGCAUGUAGGCGGUCUUGUAAGUUGGGUGUGAAAGCCUAUGGCUCAACCAUAGAACUGCACCCAAAACUACUAGACAUAGAGUCUGGGAGAGGAAAAUGGAAUUAGUUGUGUAGGGGUAAAAUCCGUAGAGAUAACUAGGAAUACCAAAAGCGAAGGCAAUUUUCUGGAACAGUACUGACGCUCAGAUGCGAAAGCGUGGGUAGCAAACAGGAUUAGAUACCCUGGUAGUCCACGCCCUAAACGAUGAAUGUUAGUACGUCGGGAGGCUACGUCCUUUCAGGUGAUGCAGCUAACGCAUUAAACAUUCCGCCUGGGGAGUACGGUCGCAAGAUUAAAACUCAAAGGAAUAGACGGGGACCCGCACAAGUGGUGGAGCACGUGGUUUAAUUCGAAGAUACGCGAAGAACCUUACCUAGCCUUGACAUUGAUAGAAUCCGAUGGAAACAUUGGAGUGCCAGUUUACUGGAGCUUGAAAACAGGUGCUGCACGGCUGUCGUCAGCUCGUGUCGUGAGAUGUUGGGUUAAGUCCCGCAACGAGCGCAACCCUCGUCCUUAGUUACUAACGGUUCGGCCGAGGACUCUAAGGUGACUGCCUUCGUAAGGAGGAGGAAGGUGAGGACGACGUCAAGUCAUCAUGGCCCUUACGGCUAGGGCGACACACGUGCUACAAUGGAUAGGACAAUGAGACGCAAUACCGCGAGGUGGAGCAAAUCUAUAAACCCAUUCUCAGUUCGGAUUGUAGUCUGCAACUCGACUACAUGAAGCUGGAAUCACUAGUAAUCGUAGAUCA